rnacentral:lncRNA from 1 species
ACAUCAAUAAAUCAUUUAAAGAAGAUGAUUAUUAUUAGAAUAUAAAAUCUACAUACUAAUAAUAUAUCAUAAAUCAAUGAUGCUCUUGUAUAUGCAUAAAUCAUACAAUUUUCAUAAACAUAGUUUCCAAUGCAUAGCUAAAUAAAUUUAUAAAUCAUAUUAACUAUAUAAAUAAUAUCAUAAAUCAUCUGUCAUUUUAUCAUAUCAUAAUUCUUAAUAAUUCUCUCAGACUAAAUACUAAGAUCACUUUAUAUCCGUAAUAGAGCCAUAAUUAUUAAAAUAUCAACUAUUAUUAUCCAUUGACA